GCGGAGGUGCCGGAGUGGUCAAACGGACUAGACUCAAGAUCUAGUGGCUUAGUGCCUACCCAGGUUCGAACCCUGGCUUCCGCA
rnacentral:tRNA from 1 species